AUCAGUGAUGUCAACAAGGGCCAGGGCUCCGUAUCAGCAUCAGUGACAGAGGGCCAGCAGAACGAGCAGUGACAAGACAGGUGGGGCCUGGCUCCCCACCCGCCAGCUCCAGGACUGCCCCUUCCUGGGCCAACUAACCAGACAACUGGGAAGAGCCCCCAACUCCAACAGGAUUAUUUUCCCAGGAGGAGUUACAGAUGCAGCCACAGAUUGAUCAUCUGCCUUAACGUGAUCGGAGAUGCUUUGUAAUCUACUGUCCAGCUGAAAGCACUCAUGUUACGAGGAAGAAACUACAAGUGAUGUUCAAAUCUAUUUUGGGUCAUUUUUAUGUACCUUUGGGUUCAGGCAUUAUUUGGGGGGUUUUGUUUCCAAAGGAACUAAAUAAAGUCAUAUUGCUUAUA
rnacentral:lncRNA from 1 species